rnacentral:lncRNA from 1 species
CCCAGAUCCUGACACUGCACAUGCCGAGGCUGAGGUCACCAUCUCCCCCGACUGACCUUUGCCACCACUGGCUUGGUCACCAGGGGCUUCGUGUGUUGUCCUGCGUCUCCUUCAUCAAGGAUAGUUAAUUUAUCACUUCUUUCUGGAAGGAGGCAACUGUAGACUGGAGAAGGACUAGAAAGAGAAGGAAGGGAACCAAAGACUAACUCUACCUGCUCAGACAGUCCUGCCACUCUUCCCUUUCUAGAAGCCAGGACUGGUCCAGCUGACCCCAUCUUAUCAACAGAGCGAUCAAGAGUGUUUUUCAGGAACUGAGACCCCUUGUCCAGUUCAAGCCGGUUGAGACCACCAACCCAUCAACUGGGCCUGCACAAAUGCUCGAUAAGUGACCUUGUUGACAUCAAGGAGCUACAAACUCCAC